rnacentral:rRNA from 1 species
GACGAACGCUGGCGGCGUGCUUAACACAUGCAAGUCGAGCGGACAGGCCAUGCUUUUGCGGGGUGCUCGAUAGGCGAGCGGGUGAGUAAAACGCGAGUAUAAUGCCCUUGUCUUUGGGAUAACUUCAGGAAAAUGGGGAUAAUACCGGGUAGGAGCUCCUGAAGCAUGGUGGGGGUUGGAAAGUUUCGGCGGUGGUGGAUGGUAUAGCGGCUUAUCAGCUUGAUGGUGGGGUAGUGGCUUACCAAGGCUUUGACGGCUAGCCGGCCUUAGCGGGUGACCGGCCACAUUGGGACUGAGAUACGGCCCAGACUCCUACGUGAGGCAGCAGUGGAGAGUAUGGCGCAAUGGGCCGAAGCCUGAUGCAGCAACGCCGCGUGCGUGAUGACGGCCUUCUGGUUGUAAACCGCUUUCGCCGUUGACGAAGCGUUAGUGACGGUAAUUGGUAAAGAAGCACCGGCUAACUACGUG